GUUUGUUUGUUUUUAUUUAACACCAAUUUUGCAACAAUCUUUUCAGUUUUACAUCCAAUUAUAUUUUUGUUAAAACAAAACUUUACUUCUGUCUUUAAAUACAUUAUUUUGCACCAAGAAAUAGUACAUUAAAACUCUGCUAAAUGCUUCUUUUCCUUUCAUAGCAUCUAGCACUCCUGCGCUGCAAAUCCAGAGGGCAAUAAGGCACUCCAGUGUCGGCAUUAAUGGCUGUGGCAUCCUUCAACUCUUUAAUCAGUAAGGCACUCCGGGGGUUAAAAAAAGUCUCUGGCAGGGCAGUCACUUCCCAGGGACAUUUCACCAUUAUUGCACAAUCUGACAGUCCACGCUUAAUCCAACACACAAUCUGACAGUCCAUGCACACUAUCACAGUCCACGCUUAAUCCAACACGCAAUCUGACAGUCCAUGCACACUAUCACAGUCCAUGCGUAAUCCAACACGCAAUCUGACAGUCCAUGCACACUAUCACAGUCCAUGCGUAAUCCAACACGCAAUCUGACAGUCCAUGCACAAUAUCACAGUCCAUGUGUAAUCCAACACACAAUCUGACAGUCCAUGCACACUAUCACAGUCCAUGUGUAAUCCAACACACAAUAUGACAGUCCAUGCACACUAUCACAGUCCACGCUUAAUCCAACACACAAUCUGACAGUCCAUGCACACUAUCACAGUCCAUGUGUAAUCCAACACACAAUCUGACAGUCCAUGCA